AGCGAACGCUGGCGGCAGGCUUAACACAUGCAAGUCGAGCGGGCGUAGCAAUACGUCAGCGGCAGACGGGUGAGUAACGCGUGGGAACAUACCUUUUGGUUCGGAACAACACAGGGAAACUUGUGCUAAUACCGGAUAAGCCCUUACGGGGAAAGAUUUAUCGCCGAAAGAUUGGCCCGCGUCUGAUUAGCCAGUUGGUGAGGUAACGGCUCACCAAGGCGACGAUCAGUAGCUGGUCUGAGAGGAUGAUCAGCCACAUUGGGACUGAGACACGGCCCAAACUCCUACGGGAGGCAGCAGUGGGGAAUCUUGCGCAAUGCGCGGAAGCGUGACGCAGCAACGCCGCGUGAGGGAAGACGGCCUCGGUUGUAA
rnacentral:rRNA from 1 species